UAUGGUUCAAUUGCAGGUAUCUUUUGUCUCCUCAGCUGAGAUUUUCAGUAUCUUUUGUAGCUUCAGUGUGAAGUAUUUUACUGAUAUUUUAAGUGGUGUGAUUACUGUUCUCCUGCAUAUCUUUCAUCCACUUGUCAUACAAAAUUCAUUUAUCUGAAAACUUGGAUGCAUAAUACCAUAUCAAGGGCAAUUGAUGCAAGUUUUAUAGACUGUAAACCCGUUGUACAUGUUGAGUUUGUUUUAGUGGGAUGAACUGCGAAGGUUCGUGAACUAAUUCUGUAACUUCUUAAUGCAACAAUAAAUUAGUUUGGCACGAAAAUUGAAACUAUUUCCUCCAAGGCCACCAUUUUUUGGCUCAGAAACAGCCGUAAGGCGAUGCUUCACAACCAAAUUUAAAGUUUUUGAUAAACUAUGGCUUUGUUGAUGAAGAUAACCCUAAAACUGAGUUCAUUCUGACAGGUUUGUUUGUAAGCCUACUUUUUUCUCCAUCUAGAGCUUAUUGGUCUUGGACCCUUGGUUCUUACAUGAUCUCUUUGAUCCAGGCACCUCAGCAGCAAAGAUCCUCAAUAACAUGAUAAGAGAUUAGUUGCUCAACUAAAUGGAAAACUAUAGCUAUAUAUACAAGAGAUUUAAUCAUUUCCCUUUUUUUUUCUUUUUCUUUUUCAUGUAAAUCUUUAUGCCGCAACCACAUGUGUCCGUUGGCAAAGAAUUAAGAUAUGCUUCCUUACUCUUCAACCAGGCUAUGUUGCAGAGCAGAUCAAUCUGAGUUUCAAUAUGUAAAUUUUAUUAGGGCCCAUAUGCAAGUAAGUUGACUUACUACAAUUUUAUACCAGAGAAUAAUUGAUUAUACUUUCUUUUGUUAAUUAAUUUAACUUCCAUGAAUAACAAUUUAAAAUAUCUUUCUGAAUGAAUGUAACAAUUUACCUAUUAAUCGUGUGCCUUGAGGAAAAGUUGAACUGACAAAGCGGUUUCCAGGUGAUACUAUAUCUUCCUGCCUUGCUUCUAAAGUCUUUUAGUCAAAUUAAAGAAACGAUACUCUCUCAGGGUACUUUUAUGUCUGUCUGUCUAUCUGUCUCUAUCUCAUCCUUUAUUACUUGUUUUGGAUUUCAGGAAAUUUAGGAAAUGGUCAAGCUCCGAAUUAUCAAUAAUCCUGUAAACAGCGAUGUAGCAAUCACUUGUAACUGCCAAAUUGGAAGAUGGGCAUGAACUAGGUAAUCCCUUCAAGAACGUUGGAAGAAUCGGAAGAGGGGCAUGAACUAGGGUUAAUCAUCUGGCUUCGUUUUGUAAAUGGGAAGUCGUGGCACUUGGAUUUAUAAUGGAGAAACAUAAAGCUCGAGAAACAGUUUCAAAAUCUUACUAGGAAGUCUCGCUUCAAGAAAGGCCUGGCACUGGAAAUACACAACUUGCAAAAGCAUUAAAUUCUUUCAGGAAAAAACUCUCUCUCUCUCAAGUAAGCCUACAUGCUAGAUGCUAAAGUAAAUGAUCAUUUGAUUCAUUAUCUAUAUACCUACGUAUUGUGAUUGAUUCUAGACUGGCUUCUUUGGACCGUUUCCAUUUACAGAUAUGAAAUACUUAUACUUGAUAGUUGAUUUUAUUGUUUCAGCAACACUAGGCAUUACAUCCAGCAAUCACGUACGAAACUGUCUUGUGACAA